GAGGGAGGAGUAGUAUUUGUAGCUGGCAGAGGAAGAACUACGAACAGAAGAGAUGGAUGGUACCUCUCUUUUGUCUGAUCCGUUAUCCUUUCUGAAGAUGCUCGUCUUCUAGGCUGGAGAACAUCAGGCUCCGCGACAAUCAGGCCUUGGAUAAGCUAGUAAUUAAUCACGCCAAUCAGGGCUUCAUCCUAGGACUAGGAAACAAACAAUGUAUCUGUUACUGCAAGUAUAGAAGUUUACUCUUACAUCUUAACAUGAAAAUAAAUCAGGACAGCAACCCUUCUCAUUAAUGGAAUCAUGGCAGGUGGCAAGUUAGCUAUUGGUGGUGGGCAUAAUUAGUUUAGUCAAGUAGAUUACAAAUGACUCUUAUGCUAAUAAUUUCUUUAUUGGAGAUUGAUCAAGUAUCAGAAGUCAUCUAGCCAGAUUAAAACCACAGAAUCUUUCACAUCAAUAUUGUAGGAGCAGUUUUAUACCAAACCAAAGCGGAUAAGACAGAUUCUCUAGGCUUUAGUAAGUAAUAUACAAUUAAUCAAAUUUGCAGUUUCUGGCUAUGUGUAUUCCAUGAUGUACAUUUACCUCCAAAUGCAUGUCCAGAGCAUAUACACUAGCAGUACAAGAGAACCAAAUUUACACACAUAAACGGAUGGAGUGGCCGAAAGACAAUAAAUCUUUAACAAGAACUGUUCGAUUAACUCCUGAAAUACAUGGCGGAAAGGAUGGAGGAAAUAAUGCAACGAAGUCAGCAGACUUUAACAGACCAUCAGUGCAAGCCAAUCACAUUAAAUCAAGUCAAAACACCAGAAACAUAGCACAAACACUGAAAAGGUAUACAGUGAAAAUGCUUCAUUCGCCUUUUACACGGACGUGUAGUAGAUUUCAACUGCUUGAUGGAUACAAAGGCGGAAUACUAUCAAACAUCCUUCAGCCAAGAUUGAACAUGUAAUACAUGAGCAUUUUACCAUUUAUACAUAAAUAUAUAUUUUCUGAACAUAGGUUAUGUUAAGUAGCUUGAUAAAAGGAGUAAGCACUUACAGAACAUAGAAGUACGACCAGAAAAAAAAACAACCUAUUUUAAAAAUAUAUAGUACUUCAGCGAAAUAGAAUAAUUUCAAUAAUGAGUCCCCUCAGAAAGAAAAGACCAGGAUAGAAAUCUGGUGAGCACAAAGAACUGCAAAUGUGGGGUAUAGGAGUACAUGAUAAAAAAAUAAAAAGAAUAAUUUAGUGGUACCAUUUGCAAAUAUAAUUUUCAUCAUGAGCUGUUUAAGUAACAACUGGAUUUAUCUUUUUUUUUCCUCAGCAAUGAGCCUGUUGACUAUAGAUGACAUUAUAAGUAACUACAUACUAUAUAUGAGUUUUAUAUUCAUUGUCAAUGCAUUAAGAAACCACAACAUGCAAUACACAAAUGACAGCUACAGUCAACUACAUUUAUAUUGCAAAAAUUGAAAAAUGUCAAACAUAAAAAGGAAGGGAUUGGGAGGAUUCAAGUUGACCUAUAAUUCUUUUGAGUUGUUCAAGUUGACCACUUUUAGGGAAUGCAGCUUUAGCCAAUGGUAUUCAGGUCAAACUGAUGCAUCAGCUUCUUACUUAAGUUAUCAGUACAUUGUAUCCUUAUUGAAGACAAGCAGGAGAGUUCAAUCGAGAAAUAAGUUGAUCAACAUCUGAGCAGCACUAAGGGUCAGAUGACUGAUAGAAUAAUAUAAUGGACAGGAUAUUUUAAGGCAAAAUACUAUAAUCAGUCUGGGGUGAUCCAAUGUUCAAAUAUCUGUGUUGGUCUCAAAACUGCAACACAAGACCAGGCCGUCGGGGACAAGAGUACAAACAAUGUACAAUGUCCUAUUUUCUGAACUUCUUACUGACAAAGGGAACAAAGGAAGGGCCUUUAUCAAUUCCAAAUUAAACGUCUUGCAUUUAUCCGUGGUCACUUUCAUUCAGAUGCAAUUUCAGCCAUUACUAUCCCUGAAAACAGAUCUUCUGUCAAGAUGCUCAAGAAGAUGCUACUGUUUUCUAAAGAUCAAAGGUACUAUCAAAAGUACAUAUAAUUGGUGGUGGUCUGUGAUUACAGACCGUCACAGGAGAACGGCCUGGCCCAACAUCAAAUUUGGCCCAAAUAUCACGUGCCAACCAAAAUCAACAGCAUAAUAGGUUUUCCGAGUGACGGUGAGAUGCAUCACACACAUUCCACAGCAUCAGUAGGAUUAUACACCCAUCAUUUGCAGUGCACACUACAGCAGAUGCAUUCCACAGAAAUAAGGUAGAUUCAUUGUUAAUUGUGCCGUAAACCUUGCAGUUGAUUGAUAGGAGUUGGAUCAAUAGGAACCAAUGCAACAAAAUUAGCUACAUCAACUUCAAUUAAAAGUCAGGGACGUUUGUCAUGUUUUACGAAAACUUAAGGAACAAAUUAGCCUGAACAGAAAACUUAUCAUUUAAAGCAUUUUAUUUGAAUCUAUUCUGAGAUCGAAAAACAUGUAGUAUAACAGUAUGACAGAAGUCGGCCAAAAAUCUCUUGUAUACAGAUUACAGAGUAUUGCAUUCUACGGUACUAAUUGCAUCCACUAUUCGAUAAAGAAGUUUUAAAAGCACGAUCUUUCCUACGGAAGAGGUAACACCAGUCUAAAAAUCAACCGAACAUUCAGCAAGCAAGCAAGAUAUCGCAAUCAGGAGUUCAGGACUAAGACCAGAUCAGAUUGCUCGUGCAAAGAGGCAUUUCAACAAGCACCUGCCGUGCGUGCCCAAUCAGAUAAGAACCAGCAGGUGCCAGGUAGAGAAGCUGACCUUACUAUCUCGCCGUUGGCCAAAAGCAAAUCUGCCCUUUGAAGCAACCGGCUGACGGAGGGAGGCCUGCCGCCUGCCUGAUCGCUGAUCGGUGUUGGAUUUUAGGCGGAGUGACAAGUACGGAGUAUAUAACCUGACCUAAUUCGUGUACAUGUUCAUCUGCGGUGCCUGCCUCUCUGGGUUUGUAAGCUGCGGGCCU
rnacentral:lncRNA from 1 species